rnacentral:tRNA from 1 species
GCGUCGGUGGCAGAGCGGUCAAUUGCAUCAGACUGUAAAUCUGACGCCUUCGGGCUACGCAGGUUCGAAUCCUGCCCGACGCACCA